UGGGGAAUAUUGGACAAUGGGCGAAAGCCUGAUCCAGCCAUGCCGCGUGUGUGAAGAAGGUCUUCGGAUUGUAAAGCACUUUAAGUUGGGAGGAAGGGCAGUAAGCGAAUACCUUGCUGUUUUGACGUUACCGACAGAAUAAGCACCGGCUAACUCUGUGCCAGCAGCCGCGGUAAUACAGAGGGUGCGAGCGUUAAUCGGAUUUACUGGGCGUAAAGCGUGCGUAGGCGGCUAAUUGAGUCGGAUGUGAAAUCCCCGAGCUUAACUUGGGAAUUGCAUCCAAAACUGGCGAGCUAGAGUAGGGCAGAGGGUGGUGGAAUUUCCUGUGUAGCGGUGAAAUGCGUAGAUAUAGGAAGGAACACCAGUGGCGAAGGCGACCACCUGGGCUCAUACUGACACUGAGGUGCGAAAGCGUGGGGAGCAAACAGG
rnacentral:rRNA from 1 species